UCUCUGAUAGUAUAUCGGUUAGUACACGCGCCUGUCAUUGACAUGGAACAUUUGUGACCGCGCGAAAGCUGGGUUCGACUCCCAGUCAGAGAG
rnacentral:tRNA from 1 species